UACGGGGGGGGCAAGCGUUGUUCGGAAUUACUGGGCGUAAAGGGCUCGUAGGCGGCCAACUAAGUCAGACGUGAAAUCCCUCGGCUUAACCGGGGAACUGCGUCUGAUACUGGAUGGCUUGAAUCCGGGAGAGGGAUGCGGAAUUCCAGGUGUAGCGGUGAAAUGCGCAGAUAUCAGGAGGAACACCGAUGGCGAAGGCAAUCCCCUGGGCCUGUACUGACGCUCAUGCACGAAAGCGUGGGGAGCAAACAGG
rnacentral:rRNA from 1 species